rnacentral:lncRNA from 1 species
CUUAUCUAAUAUCCAGGCAGACACAGUGGCUAAUGCCUUAGUGCAGGUAUUCUCUCGGGUAGGAUUCCCUAGGGAGAUCCUAUCCGACAGGGGAUCGCAGUUCACGGCAGAGCUGACCCAGCAGCUCUGGCACGUUUGCAAAAUUAAAUCCCUGCUUAGCUCCCCGUACCACCCCCAGACCAAUGGGUUAUGUGAGCGGUUCAACGGAACCCUCAAACAGAUGUUAAAAACCUUUACCCAGGAGUAUAGGGACUGGGAGCGUUUCCUGCCGCACCUCCUGUUCGCUUACCGGGAAGUGCCCCAGGAAACCACCG